rnacentral:ncRNA from 2 species
CAGGUGUCGCACGGGAGCCCGGCUGGGCUGAGAAAGGACUUGCGGGUCCUGACCGUCGAACCUGAUCCGGGUCAUGCCGGCGCAGGGAGCGAAGAUGAUCGAAGU